UCGAGAAUUUUUCACAAUGGGCGCAAGCCUGAUGGAGCGACGCCGCGUGGGGGAUGAAGGGCUUCGGCUCGUAAACCCCUGUCAUUCGCGAGUAACCGUUGGAUGCUAAUAUCAUCCAAUCUGAUAGUAGCGAAAGAGGAAGGGACGGCUAACUCUGUGCCAGCAGCCGCGGUAAUACAGAGGUCCCGAGCGUUGUUCGGAUUUACUGGGCGUAAAGGGUGCGUAGGCGGUCGGGUAAGUUUGAUGUGAAAUCUCCAAGCUUAACUUGGAAACGGCAUUGAAUACUGUCCGGCUCGAGGGUUGGAGGGGGGACUGGAAUUCCCGGUGUAGCAGUGAAAUGCGUAGAUAUCGGGAGGAACACCAGUGGCGAAGGCGAGUCCCUGGACAACACCUGACGCUGAGGCACGAAAGCUAGGGGAGCAAACA
rnacentral:rRNA from 1 species